rnacentral:tRNA from 1 species
CCUACUUAACUCAGUGGUUAGAGUAUUGCUUU